rnacentral:rRNA from 1 species
UACAGAGGGUGCGAGCGUUAAUCGGAAUUCCUGGGCGUAAAGCGUGCGUAGACGGUAGCGUAAGUCAGAUGUGAAAGCCCCGGGCUCAACCUGGGAACUGCAUUUGAGACUGCUCUGCUCGGGUGCGGAAGAGGGAAGCGGAAUUUCCGGUGUAGCGGUGAAAUGCGUAGAUAUCGGAAGGAACACCAGUGGCGAAAGCGGCUUCCUGGUCCGACACCGACGUUCAGGCACGAAAGCGUGGGGAGCAAACAGG